AAAAUAUAUUUAUAAAACACCUAAUAGUUUUAAAUAUGUUGCUUACCAUUCUGAAAAUAUCAGUGAAAAUUUAGUAAAAUUUUCAUGAAUUUAUAAUAUGUUCUUUCACCCAAAUGUUCGCAUAACAUAUGGUAAGUAUUCCAUACCAUUCAAAAACACACUCAAUGUCUAUUUUAUAUUUUUAACAUUUUUUGAAGAAAUGUCCAAAGAUGCUUUUGAAAAAUGAUCAUCAUGUACUUUAAAAAUUGAAUGUGCAUAAAAGUCUGUUAUAUGUGUAUACUAAAAAUGUACAACGUGUAUUGAAAAAAAACAUUGAUGAAAUGUAAUGAUAAAAACACAUAAACACUAAGGGCAAGGAACCGAUGGACUGCUAAAGGCUGGCAGAGAGCUCAGGCGGGCCCGCCGUGUGGCCCGGUUGGAAUGGAGCACUACGCCAAAAGUUGAAGUCGGAUUUCUCAAAAAGAAAAAAGGAAGCCGGAGACUUCGCAGCGACCGGCCGGCGCCGGCCAUGGAGAUGGAGCCGACCGGCCCGAGUACCAAGAGGAUGAGACCCGCGCCACCCGACAUCCACCAAUCGACGCCAGGUCCAGCGGAAACGACCGACCCGGAAGCCACGGCCGCGGGGAGAACCCAACACCCGCCGCCGGGAGCCGGGAGAGAUGGCGGCGAGGGAUCGCCGGACCGCAUCAGCGAUCUUCCCGACGCGGUCCUCGUCGAGAUAAUCUUCCUCCUCCCCACCAAGGAGGGCGCCCGCACCCAAGCCCUCGCGUCCCGGUGGCGCCACCUCUGGCGCGCCGCCCCUCUCAACCUCGACUGCCUUGGCCUCCCCGGCAACCUCCCCGGCGCCAUACUCUCCGCCCACGGGGGCCCCGUCCACCGCCUCUGCCUCCCGUCGCUCCCCCUCCCUGGACAGGCUCCAGGAGCUCGAGUUCUACCUGGAGCUGCCAAUAACAUACAGAUUUUCGUUCUCAAGGUUACAGCUGCUGCAACCACCAACGGCGUCCAUCUUCAGGUUCUCGUGCACUCUCCGCGUCGCCACCGUCAGCCAGUGCCAUCUCCCGGACAAUACUGUGGAGACGCUUCAGUUUCCCCUGCUCAAGAAGCUUGCGCUGGUGGAGGUCAAAAUCUCGGAGGGCUCGCUGCAGAGCAUCAUCGCCUCCGGCUGUUCUGCCCUGGAAAGCUUGUUGCUCAGGACUAGUUUUGACAUCCGUGGUCUCAGGAUCGACUCACCUAUCCUUAAAAGUAUAGGCGUUCAUUCUAGGUUUGUAGAACUCAUCAUUGAGGAUGCCCCUUCACUUGAAAGGUUGCUUUAUCUGAGAAUGGAUAUGAGAAUGCGGGUGUCAGUAAUCUCCGCACCUAGACUGGCGACCUUGGGUUACAUUUCUCAGGAUUCACAGGACUCCAAAAUCAUGUUUGGCUCCACUGUUAUUCAGAGAUUGCGCGUUGUUAGCCUGACAACGGUGGUGCCUACUAUCAAGAUCUUAGCUGUGAAUAUGAAUUCUAAUCUGGAUAUGGUUAUUGAGUUGAUGAAAUGCUUUGUAUGCUUGGAGAAAUUGUAUAUGAAGAUUCAGACAGAUUCACCAACAGGAACAAAUUUCUGGCGUCAUAAACACCGGAAUUUUCUCACAUCUCAGAACAUUCGUUUGAAGACCUUAGUGUUGAGACAUUACCGAGGCAUCCAGGCACAAGUUAACUUUGUCACAUUCUUUAUACUGAAUGCGAAACUGCUAGAGUCCAUCCGACUUGAGGUUGAUUCCAGGGAUUACAAUGACGGAUUUUUCGCAGAACAAUGUAGGAUGCUUCAGAUGGAGAAAAGGGUUUCUAGAGGUGCUCAGCUCUGUGUUACAACAGGUUCUCGCAAUGAUGUUUCGAGCACCGUUGACCUCAAUGAUUUGGAUUUGGCUGAUCCGUUCGCAUGUAGAUGUUGAGAGGGGGGCCUGGCUCCUGGUUGAGUUAUUCUUGCGUAUCUCAUUCUGUGUUUUUGCCCAAGCUUGGACCAAACGACGAUGGCCAGAGUCAGCUAUAUUGUGAAGAUAUCAUCUUGGGGUGCUCGUUUUGAUUGUCCACUGGUACACCUCCCAGACGGUUCCAUUUGCAGUGAAGAUUGUACAGUGUCUUCUCAACGUCUAUUGCGAGUUAGCAUCGAGUUGCAUUCUUAUAUGCAAGAAGAAGACUCUGAAAGUACCUAUCUGAGUUUGCAUAAAGGAAAAUUUCUGUUGUUCUUUCCACUGUCUGACUAGGGUGUGUUGACCCGUGUUGUUCGAUUGACAAGAGCAUAGCUUCAGAUGGAGAAGAGGGUUUCUAGAAGUGCUCCCCUUUGUUUCAGAGCAGAUUGUCACCAUGAUGUUUCGAGUAUCGUUGAUCUCAGUGAUUUGGAUUUUUGCGAUCCCUUCACAUGUAGAUGAUGAAAGUCGGUCUGGCCCUUUUUGGAGUUAUUCUUGCAUAUCUCACUCUGUUUUGGUCCAAACUUAGCUAGUCUUUCUAACCUUGUUUUGUCCCUGAACUUUGUGUUAUUUAAACACUAAAAGUAAUCAGGACCAAACAACAAUGGCUGGAGUCAGCUAUAUUUUCUGGGGACGCUCAUUUUGAUUGUUCACUGGAACACCGCUCAAAUUAUUCCAUUUGCAGUGAAGAUUGUAGUGUCUUCUCAAUGUCUAUUGGGAAGCACUGAGGUGUUACUGAAUUUACCCAGAUUGUAUCCAUCUGAGUUUGCAUAGAGGAAAACUUCUCUUGCUCUUUCCACCAUCUGGGUUCUGCUGCUAAAGCUGGGAGUGUUUUGGUAAUUAAUUUUCAAUCGCCCACAACUUCAGAUUCGAUGACUAGGGUGUUUUGAACCAUGUCCUUUGAACUAGGUUCGGUAAUUGUGGAGAUAGUUAUUCUUAACUAUCUCAUUUCGUGUUUUGCCCAAAGUAACUUGAUUAGCUCUCGUGUCUGUACUGUUGCUAAGUUUGCACCAUCACAAACAAUAGUGUGAUGUUAAAACAGGCUACCUGCAAAGCCAUCAUCCAUGCCUGGUGAUGUCAGUUAUAUUCAGAUUGCGGCGCACAUUUUGAUUUU